CUACGGGGCGCUGCAGUGGGGAAUAUUGGACAAUGGGCGAAAGCCUGAUCCAGCAAUGCCGCGUGAGUGAUGAAGGCCUUAGGGUUGUAAAGCUCUUUUACCCGGGAUGAUAAUGACAGUACCGGGAGAAUAAGCUCCGGCUAACUCCGUGCCAGGCAGCCGCGGUAAUACGGAGGGAGCUAGCGUUGUUCGGAAUUACUGGGCGUAAAGCGCACGUAGGCGGCUUUGUAAGUUAGAGGUGAAAGCCUGGAGCUCAACUCCAGAAUUGCCUUUAAGACUGCAUCGCUCGAAUCCAGGAGAGGGCAGUGGAAUUCCGAGUGUAGAGGUGAAAUUCGUAGAGAUUCGGAAGAACACCAGUGGCGAAGGCGGCUGACUGGACUGGUAUUGACGCUGAGGUGCGAAAGCGUGGGGAGCAAACAGGAUUAGAUACCCGCGUAGUC
rnacentral:rRNA from 1 species